rnacentral:tRNA from 2 species
GCGGGAUUAGUUUAGUGGUAGAAUACAUCCUUGCCAAGGAUGAGACACGGAUUCGAUUUCCGUAUCCCGCA